CCUGGAAGAUAGAAUUUAUAUACUCUAAAAGCUUAAGUUUAUAGAGAAUAGUGUUUAAAUAUUUUUAUAUUUAACACUUCCCCUCACGUUUGGGCUCAAAAUUUUUCGUAGACCCGUAACGUGGACUUGAAUUAAAUGGAAAGAAAUUAAUAAAACUACGAGACUGACAUUACUAAAACUUAGAACCUCCUGCUAUGAUACCAUGUGAAACAACCGUUGUACUUUAAAAUCUUAAGCUUAUAGAGAACGGUAUUUAAAUAUUUUUAUAUUGAACAAUAAGCAUAGAAACAAUCCAGCAGUGGCAUCACUAGACAAUUAAAUGAUUCCUUUGGACGACUCUAAUGUAUGGUCAAAUGUAAGUUCCUUGACGACCUUGGCUGAUUCUGUUUGCAACCUGCAAUAAAGGGUUAAACAAUUUGAAAGCAUUUUACCAGUGGGAACAGACCAAUUCAUUCCUUCAAAAUAAUGCGAUGAAUACAGAUGAAAGGAGAUUGAAAAAAGAAGCAACUAUCUGGGUUAAGAGCCAUUCAUUUAAAGUAGCACCUCUAAACCACUGAUAAGCUAGCCUCUCCUAGCUCUUGUGCCUCUGAGGAUAAGCCCCUUACUUCAAUUGUCAGACCUUACAAGAACAAAAAUUCGUUACUGGGGAAGAUGUAACUGAUAUGCUAUUUUGAAGUGCACUUAGGUAUCGCAACUAGAAGUGCAGAGACCAUAUCAAGUUGGUUGAAAUGGCUCCUGCAGCACAUCCUAUAUAGGUUAAACAGGAAUGGAUCAAGCCAAAUUGCCUUGAAAAAGUAAUCCAAUCCCCACUUCUUGCUCUCAAACUAAAAUUAGUGGUCUACAUAAUUUCCUUUCCCCAAACCAAUAAAUUGCAAAGGUUAAUAUGCUCAUUUUCCAUCAAACAAGAAAUUUAUGGCACAUCAUAGAGGAAUAAGAGCUCUCGGAGAAUGAGUAUCACACUGAAAACCACAGAAAGAUAGAUAUUAUGUGCUUUCAUCUAUUCAUUCAAGACUGAUAAAGUUCUCACUUGAAAGUGCCUUAUAAUUAGUUUACUACUAGAAAGCCUUUUUUUAAAAAAUUUACUACAUAGAUCAACUAACCACUUAUAUGCUCAAGAAGAUAUGACCAUAGUACUUAAACUUUGGCAUCAAGUGAUGGUUGUUCCCAGCUUUAAAUUAAGGCCGCACAAAUGCAAAAAGCAAUGAACCGUCAAAUGACAAAAAUAGCAGAGCUUAAUUUAAAAUACAAAUACAACUUCAAGGGAAAUAAACAUAUACCUUAACCUUGACACCAAUUAGCAGAAAAUGGUAUUCACUAUUCAGAUACUACAAAGGAUCUGGGAUUAACAGCUUCAUCCAGCUAGCUAAACUUUGAGUAGUAUAAUAGGCCCUUGGUUUCCACAAAAUUUUCAUCACCAGUCGCUGAGCCGCUCAAACAUAUUGAAAUAUCAUAGAGACAAAUAAAAACAUUGAACAUCAAAAAAUAACUGACAAAAUCAAAGGAUUCAAAUGAAGACAUCAUUGCAAAAAAGAAAAUGGAUAGAUCAUUCGCAAUGCUGACGUACCAGGUGGUAAUCAAUACACAAGUUAUUUUUCCUUCAUAUACAUGAGAAACAAAAGAUUCUAAAAAGAUGAUUUACCUAUGCUGGGCACCAAAGUUCAAGUCCCCAUGGUAAAUUCCAGCUCUGGAAAGCCAAUCAAAAUGUUUCGCUCUUCUUUGUUUAAUAAAGAAUUUAAAUUCACUGCAUAUCAUGAAAGAGAGACCAAUUCAAUUCCAAAUAAUGAUUACAAUAUUCAAAUACAACCAUUAAUGCUGUAAGGAUAGUAAAAAAUAAAAUUAGAAGAGCAAUACUAUAAUAGCAUAACGAUGUAAAAAUACAUUAGUUAAUCAGAUAACAAGCCUAAAUAAUACUUGAAAUUGUGAAACAGGAAAUCGGAUUUCAUGAUGCUGAACACCUUCAUCAGCCCAUUUCAUCUAAUGGACUCUCUUUCUUUACAGGCCGACUGAACCACCAGCACACUGAACUACUCCCUGUCAGCCUACUGAACCACCAGCACACUGAAUUGUUGCUUGUUGAUUGACAACAAAGCCUACCGGAAAUGGACACGAAUCUCAAAUUCUGAUUGUCUACGUUUUAUAUAAAUUGAGUCACACUGGGUCAUUAUUUGGGUCAAUAAAGUGUUCCAUUUAGUUCUUAGGUCUCUAAUUUCAGAUUAGACCAUUAGGGGGACCAGUUGGAGUUCUUUUUGGUUUAGGACUGAAAUGAUUAAAAUUUAUAAGUUAAUAUUGGAGUUUGAGCCAUAAUUGGAUCUCAAUUUGGUGUCCUUUGGGUCAUUAUGACAAAAGUGGAUUUAUUUAUUAAGGAUUUAUUUGAUUCUUACUGUCUUCCCUGCCGUGAGUAUCCCUUUGCCCUCUUUUUCUUCCUCAUCACCUCCACUGCUUAUUCUGAUUCUCCUUCCCUUUCUUCUCCUCUCCUCAUUCUCUUCUGCUUCUCCCACCUACCUCAUUUUUGCUGUUGAAUACUCAUCCCAACCCCACCAUAGCCAGCAGCCAACUGCAGCUCAAUCGCUGACAACUGUAGCCCGAUUGGUACAAUGCAGCAAUAGUAAUGCUAUUUUGUCAGCCAAACUAUAUGUGCAUCUAGGGAUUGCUUCUGGAAUCUAAUUUCGAUUAUUUCCAACCAAUACCGUAUGGUUGACUCAUAAGUCACCCAGGCAAGACUACGUCAUCUAGAACCACAAAAAUAUCACGCAAAAACAGAAGUAAAAUAAGUGAUGUCGAGUUACACAAGAGAAAGAAAAAAGAAAAGAAGAAAUGCCAGCUACCCAAGUACUUUAUCACCUCAAUAGAGGCAAUUUAACUUGUAGAAACUUUCUGAUGCUAUUCAACCUAUACUAUUAUCACAUCAUGGAAAUAUGUUUAGCUCAAAUCUGAAUUCCACGUGUUCUGUAAACCAGAGGACUUAAAAACCAAUACUUUUCAAGCAUAUGAAUCACGUGAAUAUUGUAAACACUUUAUCAGUCUCCAGCUACAAAUUAACCCCACUUUUCCAGCCAAAGGCUAUUGUGGGCCCACCCAGCAAUCCUAUAACCACCCAAGUUAUGUCAAACAGAGAGUGGAGGAGUCUAUAAAGUAACCUGAUGAUACUAAUGUUAACUGCAAAAGAGAAGGAGAUAAUUGAUGGCUUCUUUAACAAUUUGCAUUUAACAAAAAAGAAAAAAAAAACAUAAAUCAAAAUACCACCUGUUUGGUAUCUCUCCGGGAAGUUCCAUAAAAUGUACCGCAUGGUCAGAAUAACUUGCAAAGACCAUCUGCAAAGCCAUUUUCAUAACAACCAUCACAAAUCCAAGUACAAUUACAAAUCCUGCACUGAUACUUAUAUUUUGAAACUCAAAAUAUCGGCUUGUCUAAACCCUAAGAAAACUCGCUUCCUGCUUAGAUCAACACAGACAAGCAAACUCUGGAGGAAAGAUUCUUACCACAUCUUCCUUGAUAUGAAGGAAAUGAAGAAAGGAAAAACUACCAGGAUUACAAAAGAAGAGAAGCAAAAGAUAAAGCAGAACAAAAGGAGAAAUGCCAAGUCUAUAACCAAAAAGGGUUGUAUUCUUACAAUUCAUCCAAGGGCGCCUAGGGUUUACUAACCCCUUAAAGAAAAAAGGAGUGAUAAGACUAGCAGAGAGAAAUUGGCCUUCAGAUGAGUUAGGAUUACAACCUCUCUUUGGCUGUAGCCUUAGCAUUUCUCGAACAAAAAAUGUGUAGUACUAAUAAAUAUUAUUGAACAGACCAAAUGAUUCAAUGAGAGACCUCUUUAUUCCCUGUUGGAAAUGGCAACCGGUAACCAGCAAUAGGCAAUAAGCCCCAUCACAUUUCCACAUUCCUUUUGUGUACGUCAAAGCCUGAUAUCUCGUCUCAAAAACAAUUUUAAUGACCUCUGCUAUCAACAUCCUCUGGAUUUCUUGGCUACCAGAUCUGAUUCAUCAACGUCGUAUCGGACACAAAACCAUACUGCCACAUAGACAGAGAUAAAAGUUUGUUAGACUAUACAGGCUUAAAAUUGCAUAGUAUUAUUGCAGAGAUUGAUUUGGAAACCUACUUAGGUUAGGUGCUACACAGACCGAGACAACUAAGAUUUACAAAGUAUUCUCAAAAUCUCGAACCUAAAUGCGGCAGAGAAGCAGUUAUUCGCUGCAGCUUCAAAAUUAACUACUCACAAAGAGCAGUCCAACUAUCUGCAUUGUGAUAUGUUGUUUAGCCUUGAACUCUUUCAAACAGUUGAGAAUACGCUCCUGGAGAUAUUUCCGCAGCUUUUUUAGAAUCAUUCUCUAAAUUAGGAACUCUAUCAUGUUUGCCAAGAAUGACGAGACGGAAGGAUCAUGAGGUCACAAAGCAACCGUAGCAAACUUCUCAUUAUGCUCCUCUUCUCAGGAAAAGGGAUCUAAAAGGUCAGCUUCUUGAAAAGACCCAACUUUUGCUUGCCAAAUACCUAGCUCCUGCUUCUUCAUUAGAAGCUUUUCAAAAAGCGAGAUCAAAAAAGGAAUAGGAUCAAGGAAUACAAAGUUUAUAAAAUCUUCGAAAACUACUUGUGCUUCAUUUCUAAGAAGGCUCUCUUAUCCAAACUAGUUAAGCAGUUUACAAGUUACAAAGACGAAGCUCAUGUUCAGCAAAACCAUCACAAGGCUUCCACACAAGCCAACAUUGAUUCCAGCUCCAUUCCAAGGCCAAGCCUGUUGCUCUAUGCCACUUGUUCUAUACUGAAAACGUGAUCAGGCAAUUGUCAAGAGGAGAUUACGCCAAGUCUAUGUUCUGAUAAUAAUUAAAUCUGCUAUAUCGCUUUCCACAGGACCACAUAAGGCCAAUACCUUUUCAAAGCUUCUAGUCCUGUGACUAAUCAAAAGCGUAAGGGGCAUACAUUUUAGAUCCACAAAUUUAAACCACUUUGCAGACAUCCAUAAUCAAAGCCUUUUAACAGAAAAAGACACCCCAGCAUUAAGGGGAAGCAAGCUCCAGUGCGAGCCAUUUGUGUCAAUACAACAGCUAUGCCAGUUGAUCUGAUAUGAACCUUCAGGAAACGCAGAAACAUUCAGCAAGUAAAUUGAGAAUCCCGGCCCUCUCUCAUUUGGUUCAAAACACACACAAGCUGUCACCAAAUCCUCAUCUCCAUUCACAAUGUUUAUCUCAUUGGCUUUUCCAGCAUCUUCUUUAAGGUACUGCAACAGUAUGGCAUUUAAUUGUACCAUUUCGUUAAUCUUGCGAGGACGAAACUCCCACGUAUUUUCAGCUUCCCCUUUUCCUAAGGGUAAGCGAGAAGAUACCCUUGCAGCAAGAAUGCAGUACAGCUUAGCGAGCUGAGCUGAAGUUCUUGCUAACAUGUUCUUUAACUGAAUGCAGAGAUUUAGCGAUAACUGGAAACCAGGUGGUGUUAUUAUUUUGUCUUUGUUUCCAGAAUCUGCACCGAAUAUGAAUAGCUCGGCACCAAUGCAAUGCCUGCAACAGCAUUCGAGUGUGAACCAAUUAAUAUACAGAAUCUAGGCUGCAUUUUGAUAAUUGUCAAAAAAGGACAAACAAAGAGACAAACAUAUAUUAUUUUUUGCACAGCCAAGUAAGAAUUAUGGAGAGAUAGAUAAUUUUAAUUACUCUGAAGAACCUCGGAGUUCCACAUAUUUGUGAAUGGCCAAAUGAACCUUUAAAACUCCCAAAGUUAUCAAGAUUUUUGUAAGCUGUGGUAUCAAUAACCCAAGUCACUAAAAUCAAAUGGAAACUGUUAAUGCAGUAAAUGUGAACGAUAAAGAGAAGCAGCAUUUGGCUCUGAAUCUAUCAAUAUGAAAUAAAUAAUGCUAAGCAACAAGGAUUUAAGUGCCCUGGCAUGGGGUCGUGCUGGAAACUUGUUGGCACGGUGCGUGCCGGACCGUGCCGAUGCAUGCCGAUCAAAACAAAUACAAGUGUGCCGACACAUAAUGGCAUGAACUAUUUAUUUUCUUUAGCAACAAAAUACUCCAACUGUUUAUUAUGUAUUUUUUUCAAAUAUUUUGAAUUGUAUUGAAAAAAUUACUUACUAAUUUAAAGAAUAGAGGGUUUUGAGCUGUGCCAUCGGCACGAGGACUGUAUUGUGCCGAUAUCUUGCUGGCACAAUACGACACGGUGGAUACAACCUGUGCCGAUGGACAUUUAAAUCCUUGCUUAGCAACCAACAAGAUCUUCAAAACUAUUGGAUUUAUGAAGCUACCUAUAAUGCAAUUUAGAACUUUGGCGUAAGAGUUUUUAAAAAUAAUACCUUGUCCUAAAGUAGUAUCUAGGAAGCUGGAAAGGUAGUUCCAUUGACUUCUGCAGAAUGUCAUACAUAAGUUGCAGCCCUCUAUUAACAAGAGACUGCAGUUCCCCUUUGUCUAUUACACCUUUUGCAUCUCUUCUAAUACAAAGCAAUCCUUGUAGAGCAAACUGAAAAAUCAAUAAAUAAUCCCUAUCCAUGUAAUUGGCACAAUUGAGUUGUGAUUUAGUCUUAAGGACUUGUUAGUCAAACCAAGUAGUAGAGUCUUCAUAUUCUCUGUUGUUGCUGCAAAAUGAAUCUUUUCAUUUCCAACCUCCUUAUUGAGGACCAAGGAUUUAAGUGUCGUGGCACGGGGUCGUGCCGGAAACUUUCGGGCACGGUAUGGCACGGUGCGUGCCGAGCCGUGCCGAUGCGUGCCGGUCAAAAAAUGGAUUGAGGAAACUUGGAAUUAAACUCCCAGGAAUGUGACCUGCCCUGCCUACUGCUUUUACCUCACCCUACUGAAGAUGAAAAAGGCGAAGGAAAUAGCAAACCAAAACAAGCAGAAAACACAUGAAUGGGAAAGGAAUAUGUUCUCUCUUUUCACCAGGAGGAUGAACAGUGAACUUGGUUUUCCGUUGGCUUGCCUUUAGGCAUGAUGAAAGUUGUGUCUUAAAGGAAUGACCUUUUGAGUCGAGGACUGAUUUAAAGUCUCUUUGUAGUGCACGUAAGUGCAUUGUGAAGGGCUAGCUCUUUCUAAGGUUGUACUUAAGUGUGUUUACAUAACCCACCUUUUAUGAUGGAUUUGUAAAUUGUGCCUUGCCCCUAUCCCGGCCGAAACCAGGUAGGCUUUUAGGCUGCCAUCGUGUGGAGUAGAUCAUUUAACUCGAAUUUCGGGAGGGAGUUGACCAAGAUGGAAUUGAGGGGGAGAUUGAAAGUCAAUCCACAAUAGUGUGCGGGAAAAGAACACCUUAAGCCCAACUGAGUGUGUAUCAAACGAAGAGUCUUCUGGGAACGCUGCAGUGGUAGAGUCUACAAUUCCAAACUAUGGCAUGGAAAGCUUUUGAUAAAUGCAACAAAUGGGGAAGACACCUACCAGAUCGUGUGCGAGACAAGCUAAAAUAUUUUGGAAAAAACUAAGACAAAAAAAUGUUUUUUAAAGAAGACCUAGAAGGCAUUGAUCAAAAAAAACUUUAAGCAAAUGUCCAACAGAGUGGCAAGUGCGGUAUUUAACUUACCGACUAUGAGGUGGCCAACUUUCAAGGAUUCAAAAAUUUGUUGUUUUGAGGGUCCUGCAUUAAGCAUUUGUUGUUGGAACGUCAUGGGUUGAAUUAUCAGUCCAAAGAGACAUGAUUAAAUUUGUAAUGAGUAGGUUUAGGUGUGAAUUUUACUAGACUAUAAGAUGAGAGAAGGGAGAAAAUGAAGUACAAAAGCUUAGCAAGAAAGCAUUUAGCAUUUCUCCAAAUAGUACCGCUCAACAAGCGCUACACCUUAUAAUCAGAAUAAAAGGACUCAAUAUCUCUCAUCUUCCCUCUAUAGAAUCUCUAAUAUUUGUACUUGGAUUUGAAUCAACCUGGUUUAUCUAAAGCUACAAAUAACAAAGAGACGUGGUUGUUAAAAUAUCUCUAAAAAUUAGUCUUGGGAUUUGAAUCCAACUUUUAUUUCCAAAGUUCUAAAAAAAUGGCUAGGCAAAUGAUGGUCGGCCUGCUUCUCUAUAGGCAACCACUUUCAGCCAUUUUACAUGUUUCAGCAUAAAUAUUUUUAUUUUUAAAUUAUUUGGCAUUUAAUUGUAAAAGCUGAUAAUGGCACAAUCUAAACCUUAUUUAUAUUUCCUAGGUUGAUAUUUAGUAAUCAGAGGCAAAAAGAAACGAAUUAGUUUCCACCUCACUUUCUUUUCUAGCUUUUACUUAAGUUCUAGCUUAUUUUUAUGGCAUUUCCCUGAAUGACAAUAUCUUUGAGUGAAUGAAGCAAGUUAUAUGGCACUACUGAUAACUAUCCUUACCUCAAUAAUAAUAGCUAUCAACUCUUACAUUAUACAUUUAUCCAAGUGUCCACGGCAUUCAACAGAUCGGAAACUAGUUGUACAUAGAAGAACAUGACAGGAAAACAAAGAUUACAAAACAGCACAAAUUUAUGGCACAGGCAGAAGCCGCAGAACACAACACGCACUUUAAAACAUCAUAGAUUUAUGUUACUAGUUACACAUAGAAGAAUAUGGCAGGACAAGCAAACAUUACAAAACAGCUUAGGACAAGCAUACAGUACAAAACAACUCAAAUUUAUGGCAUAGACAUAGGAAGAACAAAACGGCAGAUUUGCUACCCUCUCACAUACAUUUAUCAAUGCAUAAAUUGCUAUCAAAAUAAGCAAUACCAUUACACUAGUUAAAAUAUACACUAAACUCAAAUUACAAGCUCCACACUUAAGACAUACUAAGCAUAGUGCUAACCCCCUUAAUAUUUUGACUCAAAUAACAUGAACUCAUAAACAAAUUGUCAAAUUGAGAUGCCAAUCGUACACUAACUCUAAUAUCUAAACCAAAUUGAACUUAAAUUAAGAAACUUAAAUAUAAUUCAAAAAAAAAAUUUAAUUAAGAACAAAAACUUAAAUUGAAAUUUAAUGUUUACUAAACAUAUAAACUUUUAUUAGGAUUUCAACUUAAAUUUGGAUUUUCAAUCUGAAUAUUAAUUAAAAUUAAAAUUCACAAUUCAAAUUUGAAUUUGCAUUUCGAUUCCUAUCCUCCACUCUUGAUCUCCAAGUGCUAAUAACGUUAAAUAAUUAUAAACUGUUCUCAAUUAAUGUGGUAUAUAUUUUUGUUAUAUACUAAUUAUCUCAUGAAUUAGCUGGUUAAUUUAUUAAUUUAUUAAUCAUUUAACUAGCAUUUUGAUCAAUUCAUUUAUUACCCUUGAUUAAAUAGCUAAUUAAAUAUUUAACUAUUUCGUGUUCUUAAGCACUUUUUAAUAUUUAUAUUCGUUAACUGAUUUACUCACUAACUAAUUACCUAACCGAUUUACAACUUAAAUAAUUAACAUAUAAAGUAAUUUAUUCAUAGUUAAUGAACAUUUUUCAUUUCACAUAUCUUCGAAUGUAACAAUUAUUAGCUUUCUUGACAAAAUUCUCUAAUUGCUUCUUCAUUUAUAAUUGCAUAUCCGAAUUCACAAUUUUAACAAAUCCGAAUUCACAAUUUUAACAAAUCUUAGGCCAUUAUCAGUCAAAGGAGAAUUAUUAAAAGCCUUUGGGUUUCACAAUUUGAGACUCUACAUAUGUUAGAAACUACGCAUUAAUGCUUUUUUGUUAAAAGCUCUGAGUUGAAAAUUUGUUCUGAAGGAUCAUAGGCUUUUGAAUUACAGCAAAAGCUCUAAAAUUUUUCUUUCAAAAUGCUCUAGUAGAGAUUCUUGUAGCUAAAAGCAGAGGCGAAAUUUAGGUCUCACACUAUGCCAAACAGGCACUAGAACAAUCAUCACUGAUCUAGAAAACAAUGCCAUAAAUGGCAUUGCAAAAACGGACCAGAUCAAGUUGGCAUUUAGUACCCAUUCGGCUAGCUUUUGCAUCAGCUACGGCUCAAGCCAUCUAUAGUAGAAUGUUGGAGAAACGAAAAAGUUUGGAGCUUUUGCUAUGUUUGGAAGUUGUAAUAUGCUUACAAGCCUCAAAAAACAAAAAGUAGACUUUGAAAGGUUUUAACAAAAAAUGAGGGAGUUUUAAAAAGAAAGAAGUUAGUGUUGCUUCAAAUUGCACUGCUUGAUGCUAUGCUUGAAAGUUGUAAUAUGCUUACAAGCCUCAAAAGCAAAAAAUAGACUUUGAAAGGUUUUAACAAAAAAUGAGGGAGUUUUAACAAGAAAGAAGUUAGAGUCUCGUAAUCGGGGUUAAUGGACGAUACGUCUCCCUGCCCCCUCUAACACCAGAGAUCAAAUUUUCAUCCUCCAAACCCAACAUAUUUUCUGUACUAGUAAUUCAUUUUUUCUAAACCUAUUUCAAAUAUUAAAUUUCACACAUACACCUACUUAGGGAACUAUAUUCAAAAUCUCCUAAAUCAAUAAAUCAAUUCUUAGAGUUCAUCGUCCUCCGUAAGAGAAUAUAAAUACAUCUUUAUCAAUAAAACUUUUUGAUUUAGCUGCACACAGUCAACUAAUUAAAAACCUAAUUUGUGCCAUCAAGUUCUUUCAAAUUGAUGUAUUAGUUUAAUAUAGCCAGUGCUACCCUCUAAAAGCACCUGCUACUAGAAAGGAGAAACUUUCCUUUCUGAUGUAAAAAGUGGAUUCUGCCCCACAUGUUGAAGCCAUUAAAAAAAAUUUUGAAGUAAUUAUCGGCCAUGGUUGUUAUAUCUUACUUGUGCCUGAGUUUGCAAAUAUAAAGCUUAAUCCUUACAGAUCAAGGCCCUUCGCAAGAUAUUCAAUUAUAUCAUCUUACGAACAUCUACAAUGUAAGUACUUGGAUCAUGGUAUUUUCAGCCAUGGUUGUUAUAUCUUUCUUGUGCCUGAGUUUGCAAAUAUAAAGCUUAAUCCUUGCAGAUCAAGGCCCUUCGCAAGAUAUUCAAUUAUAUCAUCUUACGAACAUCUACAAUGUAAGUACUUGGAUCAUGGUAUUUUCAGUCCAUUGAGCAAUUCAAUCUUUUCAAUAGUAGCCAUUGUCAUCAACACUACAAUAUCAAUUUUCUUUAAUGCAACCACGCUCCAUUCACAAUAGCAAAUUUGUAAGACUCGCUCUCCAAAUUCAAAGUCCACAAGAUUUAAAACCACAUAUACUUUAGACAACAAAUAAUAAGAUGGUAUCAUCUUCAGAAUCAUAACGAAGAUUAAAAAUAGACUUCAUAAUUAAGAAAUACUUGAUUUAAUCUAUACGGUUAUCAAGAAACACCAUACCUUUAAGGAACACUCAAAAUCUAAUAUUGCCAAAAAAAAUUUACAUAAAUAUUUUAUGAUACUUAGAACACAUGCGUAGGCUAGGUGCAUGAAAUAAUUUUUCCUUUAGAUGCCCACCCCUACUUAAAAGUGGACCAACAUUGUGGGUGUAAGGGCUACUAUGUAUGCCCCCAACAGAUUCGGUCUGAUUUUUUCUUGGGCCAGGCUAACUCUAAUGUUUUUAUAACAUGCUAUAUCUGCUGGAGUGCAACUGCACCAAGUCUUCUCAUUGACAAGUCUAUAGUUGGACCUUUUUUUGUACCAUAAAAUACAAAGUUUUCACUUUUGACCUAAAAUAUCCAAUCUCUCGCACCAGUGGGUCACACAAUUAAUGGACCUUAGGAACAGGACAGACGAUUGCCCUAAACCCUAAACCAUGCUUUUAGAAGUCAUUGUCCUCGAUGAGAGAAUACUCAAUCAAACCACACCUUUAUUAACAAACAAAACUACUGGUUAUAGUCGCCUAGAAAAGAACCUAUUCUCAUUGCUUUGAGUAAUGUUAAUUAUCAACUCCACCAACUAGAGGAAUAUUCCACUUAAACAAAGAAACUUAUCUUUAUGAUGUUUCUAUCUCGCAUGUUGAAGCCAUCUACAUAAUUUUUUAUGCAUUUAUCCACUAUGUUCAUUAUAUCUUGUGCCAAAAGAACAAGCCGUCUGUCCAAAGAAAAAUGGUCAAAGGGAUAGAUUUAACGGCCGAAAACUUAUGAGUAGAAAAUGAUCUAUACUCAUAGGAGUUUGGUAGCCGGACUCUACAAUAAAAUAAUUUACAAAUACAAAACAUGGGCCUCCACAAAACCCGAUGGGUAUUGAGCAUUGGGCUUGGGACUGAGCCGGGCCUUAAUUUUUUUUAAGAAAUUGGGUAAAAGCCAGACCCGAAGCCCGAUAUUUUUUUUGGGCCAGGCUUGGGUAUAGUAUGACCCGACCCAAGCCCGGCCCACAGGCCCAAUCAGUGAGCAAGGCCAUAAAGCUAUAAUAUUUUGUAUUGAUUUGGCCUAUACUUGUCGAAUCUAUCCAAAAUAUGUGUAGGCCAGUCUAAAUCUGAUGUUUUGUUACUAGAUCGGGCUUAAGUUUAUUAGUUAUAUCCGUUAGUUUUUUUUUACACAUACAAAAAUUGAAAUUUCGAUGAGCUUUUUAUUUACACAUACAAAAAUUGAAAUUUCGAUGAGUAAGGCCCAUGUCAAAAUUAAUCAUGGUGGCUCGUUGGUGGUUCCAUUAGUCUCUGGGCCAAGUGUGCAGAUAUUUUCAAGUGGGCUCGGGCUAAAUUUUAAAAAUUGAUUAAAAAUUGAGAGUCCAUACUUGAAUUCACAUAUUGAUUAAAAACUAUAACUUCAAUUACUUCCAAAAAGAUUUAAAUAAUAAAAAAGUCGAAAGGAUUCGUGAAUAGUCCUAUCAAGUAGGUACUGGUGCACUGUUCAGGCUCUCAAAAUCCAACUAUUUGGGCUCUCAAAAUCCCUAGAACUAAUGAGAUCUUGAAAAUGAGGAUCUUCCGCCAAUCAUCUAAGACAAAUGAUGGGUUGGGGGAGAUAUUUUUUGAAAGUGCGUGGAGAAGAUCAAACUCGAUGUAGUGCUUCUAGAUUUGUUGACGAUUUUGACAAGAUUGCUUUCAAAUAAGUAGACUCUCAACCGCCCUAAUGAACGUACGAAUGCAGAGGCAAAAGUGUAAAGAAAGAGGAUGGAAAAUUUUGUAUUUGUGGCGGAACCUUUGUAAGCAGCCCGGUCUGGUAAGACCUAUUUUUUAAAACAGCUAGCCCUCUUAAGUUGGUCAUGGCUUAUCCAAGUAGGUCUAGUGAAAUCCUCAAUGGACAUUUUUGAAAAAAAAGGUUAGUUUCGCUACAAGUUAGAAGUGCAUAUGUGAUACUUCAAAAUUCAAGAUGGCAUCUGUGCAAUUAUAACUCAUUAGAGGGGCAUUCAGUUAAUCUUCUCUUAAGAGUUUUAGCCUUUUAGGGCAUUAGGUUUGCGAGUUUAAGACUUUAGAGCAUUGCAAGUUAGGGUUUAGGGUUUUAAACUAAGAAGACAACCAAAAAUAUUCAGCAGACUACUAGCAUAUGCACUCCUCAAUCUGGAAAGAAAAAUGUUAGGAUGGCAAACCAGCAAACCAAACUAACAAUACAGUAAAAAGAUUCAACAAAUAACCAACGUACAAACUCGGCAAAACUAACUGAUAAAUAGAUGUCUAGGAUGGCAUACUGAACUAGCACGACAACACAAUAAGAUUUAGCAGAUAAUUGGCAUGUAAUCUCACCAAACUCAAACAUGCAUGUCUAGGCAAAUAACAGCAAAAUAACUUGCAUAUAUGAAUAGAUGUCUAGAGUCGCAAAUAGGAAUAGCAAAAUAAGAUUAGCAAAUAACCAGAUUAUAUGCUCAUCAAUCCAGCUCAAACAUAGAUGUCGAGAAUGAAAACCUAGAAGGACGGUAAAAGGAGAUUUAGCAAUUCAACAAUGAUAUGAGUCGAUUGAGCACAAGACUAAAAGAUAAAUUUAUGUACAGCAUGGUCGACGCAACAGGAUAGUAAAUUUCAACAAAUUAACUGUCAUAUGAGUAGAACAAGCUCAAAUUUAUAACAUGCCUCAUGUGCAAAUGACGGAUGAAAAAGACUAAUCUGUGCCACCCUUACCACCACUAUUUGGUGGUUUAUAGUUGCUCCGUUAGCUCAGAAUAGAAUGGAGAUUCGUGCAUUUUUGGCACAUGCAAUAUUAAUAAAAUUCUAACCAAUGCAAUGAAUGUAAAAAUACAACUUUGUUAUCUCGGCAAGCAUUGGAAGCCCAAGCAAAAGCUAGAUGCUGGACAAGAGACGGAUUGUAGUUUGAAUAAAUCAACCAUACAAACACCAAAGCAUCCAUUCCAAUAGUAAUAUACUAGUUCAAAUUUUAUGAAAGGAAACUCGUUUCGAUCUCAUUGAUACUGGAAGUGGUAGUGUCGUAUAAAGGCCCCUAAAGGAUCAUUGCUAUAUCUGCUGGAGUGCAGCUGCACCAAGUCUUCUCACUGACAAGUCUAUAGUUGGACCUUUUUUUGUACCAUAAAAUACAAAGUUUUCACUUUUGGCCUAAAAUAUCCAAUCUCUCGCAUCAGUGGGUCACACAAUUAAUGGACCUUAGGAAUAGGACAGACGAUUGACAGUACAAUCUUCAAUUUAAUCUAGGACCAUUUUGUUCUAUUUUUGCUUUUGAUAGGAAAAAUACUCGGUGGUGAAAUUUGUGCAUACAUAGUUUCCCAACUUGAUUUCAAAGCAACAAGUAGCAUAUUAUACACAUUAUGCGGGCUAAAUUUGGAGUAAAUAUUAUUGAGAAACAUAAUUGUGCGGCUUGUAAUUUGGAUAGUACAAAGCCCCGCCCGACUAAUGACCGUUUGGCCUAGCUUCUACUUUGACCCUCAGCAACAGCAACCUAUGAUAAAAUAUUUGACUUUUUUUAAAGAGCACUUGCUAUGCUUGAAAGUUGUACUCAAAAGCAGAAAAUACUCUUUGGAGAGUUUUAACAAGAAAUGAGGGGAGCGAGGGGGUUGUGGUUAACAAGAAAGCAGUUAGUACUACAAAUAGCAUUGCCAACACAACAUGACCCUAUGUCUCUUGGGAUCCUUCUAAUACCACAAGAUCAAAUCCUCACUCUCCAAACCCAAAUUAUUACUAUCCCCAAAUCAAAUAACUAAGUUUUUAAAAGUCAUUGUCCUCUAUGAGAGAAUACUCAAUCAACCCACACCUUUAUUAACAAAAAAAACUUCUGGUUAUAGUCACCUAAGAAAGAACCUACUCUUCCACUUGGCAACUCUUCAAAUUAAAUGCCAUACAGUCUAAUUCUCAUUGCUUUGAGUAAUGUUAAUUAUCAACUCCACCAGCUGGAGGAAUAUUCCACUUAAACUCAAACACAGCGAAUGUCAUUAUUCAAGACCGCAAGUGAGAUAUUUUGAUUUUCACUUGCUGUCGCCUCAAUGUUCAAGUUACCAGCCACCUCAUGCACUGCCACUUGCUACAGUCCAAAUAACUCGCAUACUUUGACAAUGAAAAAGAAAAUCUCAAGUCGUCCUCAAGACUAGUAUUCCAUUCAUUGGUGAAUUUUGACAAUAGAACAUAUAAUUGGGGUUACUCUCCGCCAAACAAAAAAAAAUGGGAGGUAAAUGAUAUUGCAUAAGCAAAUAUAAAAAUGGCCAAUCAUUUUAAUCAACCAUAGGUUCAUAAUAACUGCAAUGCCCUUAAUAGAUAUUAGUAUAUCAACAAUCUCGUGACUCUCGUCUAACAUAAUUUUGCUAUAGUUUCUAAAAAUGAUAGUAGUUAGAUAAUAUUAGUAUCUUAUAAAAGAGUCGUAAAUUAAUUAAUUGCAGAAUCUAUUGUCUUUCAAAAAAUUAUCACAAAUAAAAGAAAACAUGCCAAACACUUUAGUCGUGCCAAACACAAGACAACAUCAC
rnacentral:lncRNA from 1 species